rnacentral:rRNA from 1 species
UACGUAGGGUGCAAGCGUUGCUCGGAAUCACUGGGCGUAAAGGGUGCGUAGGCGGGUUUUUAAGUCAGGGGUGAAAUCCUGGAGCUCAACUCCAGAACUGCCUUUGAUACUGAAGAUCUUGAGUCCGGGAGAGGUGAGUGGAACUGCGAGUGUAGAGGUGAAAUUCGUAGAUAUUCGCAAGAACACCAGUGGCGAAGGCGGCUCACUGGCCCGGUACUGACGCUGAGGCACGAAAGCGUGGGGAGCAAACAGG